rnacentral:rRNA from 1 species
AUCAAUAAGCGGAGGAAAAGAAACCAACAGGGAUUGCCCCAGUAACGGCGAGUGAAGCGGCAAGAGCUUCAAAUUUGAAAGCUGGCUCCUUCGGGGUCCGCAUUGUAAUUUGCAGAGGAUGUUUCGGGAGCGGCUCCCAUCUAAGUGUCCUGGAACGGACCGUCAUAGAGGGUGAGAAUCCCGUAUGGGAUGGGGUGUCCGCGCCCGUGUGAAACUCCUUCGACGAGUCGAGUUGUUUGGGAAUGCAGCUCUAAAUGGGUGGUAAAUUUCAUCUAAAGCUAAAUAUUGGCCGGAGACCGAUAGCGCACAAGUAGAGUGAUCGAAAGAUGAAAAGCACUUUGAAAAGAGAGUUAAAAAGCACGUGAAAUUGUUGAAAGGGAAGCGUUUGCGAUCAGACUCGCCUUCGGGGUUCAGCCUGCCUUCGGGCAGGUGUACUUCCCCGUCGGCGGGCCAGCGUCGGUUUGGGUGGCCGGUCAAAGGCCCUGGGAAUGUAACGCCUCUCGGGGCGUCUUAUAGCCCAGGGUGUCAUGCGGCCUACCCGGACCGAGGAACGCGCUUCGGCUCGGACGCUGGCAUAAUGGUCGUAAACGACCCGUCUUGAAACACGGACCAAGGAGUCUAACAUCUAUGCGAGUGUUCGGGUGUCAAACCCGUGCGCGAAGUGAAAGCGAACGGAGGUGGGAACCCUUUGGGUGCACCAUCGACCGAUCCUGAUGUCUUCGGAUGGAUUUGAGUAAGAGCAUAGCUGUUGGGACCCGAAAGAUGGUGAACUAUGCCUGAAUAGGGCGAAGCCAGAGGAAACUCUGGUGGAGGCUCGCAGCGGUUCUGACGUGCAAAUCGAUCGUCAAAUUUGGGUAUAGGGGCGAAAGACUAAUCGAACNNUCUNGUAGCUGGUUCCUGC